rnacentral:misc_RNA from 1 species
GAUGAAGAACGUAGUGAAAUGCGAUAAGUAAUGUGAAUUGCAGAAUUCAGUGAAUCAUCGAAUCUUUGAACGCACAUUGCGCCCGCCAGUAUUCUGGCGGGCAUGCCUGUUCGAGCGUCAUUUCAACCCUCAGGCCCCCAGUGCCUGGUGUUGGGGGUCGGCCCAGCCUUCCUGUAAGGCCGCCGGCCCCGAAAUCUAGUGGCGGUCUCGCUGUAGUCCUCCUCUGCGUAGUAGCACAACCUCGCAGUUGGAACGCGGCGGUGGCCAUGCCGUUAAACACCCCACUUCUGAAAGUUGACCUCGGAUCAGGUAGGAAUACCCGCUGAACUUAAGCAUAUCAAUAAGCGGAGGA